rnacentral:rRNA from 1 species
UACGUAGGGUGCAAGCGUUAUCCGGAAUUAUUGGGCGUAAAGAGCUCGUAGGCGGUUUGUCGCGUCUGCUGUGAAAACCCGAGGCUCAACCUCGGGCCUGCAGUGGGUACGGGCAGACUAGAGUGCGGUAGGGGAGAUUGGAAUUCCUGGUGUAGCGGUGAAAUGCGCAGAUAUCAGGAAGAACACCCGUGGCGAAGGCAGCACUCUGGGACGGUACUGACGCUGAGACGCGAAAGCGUGGGGAGCGAACAGG